rnacentral:rRNA from 1 species
UACGUAGGGGGCAAGCGUUAUCCGGAAUCAUUGGGCGUAAAGGGUGCGUAGGUGGUCAAUAAAGUCAGAGGUGAAAGGCUAGGGCUCAACCGUAGUAAGCCUUUGAAACUUAUUGACUUGAGUGCAGGAGAGGAGAGUGGAAUUCCUAGUGUAGCGGUGAAAUGCGUAGAUAUUAGGAGGAACACCAGUGGCGAAGGCGACUCUCUGGACUGUAACUGACGCUGAGGCACGAAAGCGUGGGUAGCGAACAGGAUUAGAUACCCUGGUAGUCCACGCCAUAAACGAUGAGUGCUAGGUGUUGGGGGUCAAACCUCAGUGCCGCAGUUAACGCAUUAAGCACUCCGCCUGGGGAGUACGGUCGCAAGACUAAAACUCAAAGGAAUUGACGGGGACCCGCACAAGCAGCGGAGCAUGUGGUUUAAUUCGAAGCAACGCGAAGAACCUUACCUGGACUUGACAUCCUUCUGCUCGGUAAGUAACGUUACCCUUCCCUUCGGGGACAGAAGAGACAGGUGGUGCAUGGUU